GAAGUAGAAUUAAUGUCAACUGUAUAAGCACCUCUUAUAUCAUAUUACUUCACACACAAAGCACUGUGAUCGCUUCAUACGUCUUAGCGUUGGCCAGGUAAAUACACCGGUAACUAGGACUCUCUACCUGUAAACACAUGGAAGCUUCGACUGGAAGAGCAGACAAACCAACAGUAUUACAGGGGGGUAACUACGUAGCGUGUUCCUUGCCGGAAGUUACAGCCCAAGCUAUGUGUACAUACGUGGAGGGAACAGGACAUUCCGUGUUAGAAGAUGAAUGCUGAUCAAUAAGGAUGAACAGUAUUUCAUCAUGAGAUAGCGGCUUUCACCAGGUGAGUGUCCCCAUCACAAAUGGCAGAAAAGGCUUCCUCUUUCUACAAGGGACAGAUAGCUGUCCGUGACCUGGGUCGGACGACAUGCACACACCACAAAGGAAAUAUUUUAGACUGGGUUUGUGAGACAUGCUGUGAUGCAAUAUGUGCUAAGUGUGUAUCGUCUUUACACAAGGGCCAUGACAUCGUUCACCUGAGCGAAACUACUGCUGACAACAAACGGAAGAUAAAAAUAUUCAUUGAUGAAGUCGGCCAGAAAGAGUUGAGACAAAUUCAACAGGAAAUAAUUUCUACCCGGGAAAGUCUUGAAAAUGAUUUGAGUCAUUUUGAGAGUGUGAGAAGAGAAAUGAAAGAGCAAGGUGAAACACUAAAGGAAUAUAUUGAUGUUUUGAUGGCCCGAACGCUUUCUCACAUUAAACAACUAGAAGAUGAAAAUGCUAACCUUCUCAAGAAUUACAGGAUAGAUCUCGAACAGAAACUUGCUGAACUAAAGGACCAACUGAAACAUUGUAAUGAAGCCCUUAAAACUGGCACAGAUAUCCAGGUGUUUGACUUUGUCUUUAGACUACAGACCAACAUUACACUACAUGCAGCACCCAUCCUUGCUUCCGCCGUGUUCAGCCCUAAUGUCAAGAGCAAAGUAAUGCUGGAGCAGGCAUAUGGAAAAGUAAUCGUUGACAAAUCUGGACAAAGUGAAGAUCAGUCUACAUGUCAACAGGAUAUCGACUCUGACCAAUCACAAGAAACACCAGAUCAUCAAGUUCAAGUUCCUCCACUGCAACAAUCCAAGAAGGAGAGUCCACAGAUGAAAAUCAAUCAGCUACCACUGUCCGCACUUCUGGCACAGAGUACAGUGCUUUCAGAAUCGAUAGUUUCUUCGGAAAUUGAGUCUAUCUGCCCAACUUGUAAUGAUGGUGCAUGGACGAGUGGACGGAUAAGUAACAUUGUGACACACCUGACCAGUCAAGGAGGCGUACAUCAGAAGAUACAGAGUCAUGUUCCGGUUACAGAUAUCUGUAUUUCCCCCUCUACACACAACCUCUGGGCAUGCUCUAACAAAGAAUACAAUGUCAUGGAGUUGACAUUAGGUACACUGAUCAGUAGGUUCAAAACCACAGAUGAACCUAGAUGUCUGUGUGUUACUAAAGAUGACUGUGUCCUUGUUGGGUCAAAACACAAAAUCACUGAGUACACUAAGGAAGGGAAGAAAGGCCUCGUCAGCAGAACAUACCUGUAUUUCAUGUGGAAUCCAUUGCUAAAGUCACCAUGGCGGAUGUCACAAUGUCCAGUCAGCAAGAAUAUUGCAGCAGUUGACAUGGAUCUGGCAGAUGAUGGCGGUAAGGGAGAACCAGCUGUUAUAGUCCUGAACAAACGUCUAAAAGAAUUAUUCAGGUAUGGACGACCAAACCACAUCAUCAAGUGUGAAUCAGGAAAGUUUUGUGCCGCGGAUGUAGCUUACGAUAGCUUGGGACAGCUGGUGAUUGCUGACACUGUCAACAGCCUACACCUACUUAGCGGUGAUGGACAGUACCUGCGAAUGCUGCAUACGGACAUAGCAAGGCCAUGGGUUCUUUGUGUGGACAGGGAAGGAGUUCUGUGGGCAGGGUUUGGCAGAUUCAGAGUUGAGAAAGUGAAACGCCUACUGUACACCAAUUUUUAAAUCAAGACACGUGACACAUCGUAACAAUCGUACAACUACUGUAUAACUGUCCCAUGAUUUGGAUGGGAAGACGGAUAUGUCAGGAACAUAUACCAUGUCAGAGAAGAAAGGUUUGUCGUGAGAACCAAUUUCUCUUUGAGAGUACGUGGAUAGAAUUGAAAGGCCAUCGUAGGUGGAAUCGAGAUUUUAUCCAGGAGCUAGAUUCUGACAUUCUGACAUUUUCCCCUUUUUUUAUUGCUUACGCGGAUCACCUUUGUGCGGAUACUUUUCCUGGUUUAGAACGCCGCCUGGCGCGAGUAGACGUUUGAGAAAAUGAAUUCCCAAAUGGGAAAAUCCAUUCUGAAGUUGUUCUCAAGUCGUUCUCAACUUCUUGAGUAUUCUAAUACUGACAACACAUGAUAAUGAAUUUAUCAUGCCACCGUUUAUAUAAGAUAGUACAUUUUGUAGUGCAUAGCGAUGAUGAAGAGCUUUACCAUGUGCGAUUUACAGAUUGAUUUACUUAUUCUUUGAUAUCUAAUCAUCUCAUUUACUCUUAUUCCCUUUCAUACAUUGUAGAGAUUUAUUUUUACCAAGAAAAUAUUUUGUGAAGUUUCUGUUAAUUGUGAACGACCUGUUCGUCUACUUUUGAAUGGAAUAUUUAGAGAGAUGUAGCCUGGUGGACCAGGAAUGUCAAUAAGACCAUAAAGUCCGAAUGCAAACAAAAAAUGAAAAGAAAUCAAUAUUUUUUUGAUCGACUGAAACUAAAAACAAAGCAUAUACAUUUCCCUUUGAUCGACUUUUGUCUUUUGGUGAGGUAUCUUAAACUUGAUGAUGUCAUAGCAUGCUAUAUAGUAUAAAUUAGUGACCUCCAGUUAUUUAAAUUUUGUCCGUGUGAUCUCAACUACUCGAUAAAUCUAAAACAUUUACAAAAUAAGACGAGGUAAAAUUACUAAAAUAUAUCAGAGUAUUUCCCCUUUGAUCACCAGGAUAGGGUAGUGAAGUAUUAUAAGGAAAUGAGGAGAGAACAUUUAUACCAGAGUAUGAAAAGACUUCCUUAAGAGACCGGCUUUAGUAAUGCAUACAAAUAUCAAUAACAUUUAUCAUACGCACAUUUCCCCAUUUUAGUUCUAAGUCAUGUCAUAUCUUCAUUGUUUUUAAAUGGCGACAAAAGAGUAUGCUGGUAUAGAUAUAUUGUAUAUAUAUACACCGAUCACAUUAAGUCAUUAAAGACACUUCUAAGUUGUAAAAAGCGCACAAAGCGUAAUGGAACAAGUGUUGGUAAUGAAUAGGUAUGUAUUAUUAAUACUUGUAUUCUUGUAUUUUAAGAAGUGUAUGUAAAUUUCUGAAAUGCAUAGGACCAUAAUUAUAAAGGUUUCAAAUUGAAGUUUUCACUUUAAACCAAUAACAAAAAAAAAUGUUUAGCUGAUAUUAUAUAAUGACGACACAAUCUAUAUUUUAUAUCUAUGAUAUGAAAGUAUAGGCGUCAUAACGAUUGUUUAUGAUAUAUUUUGUAACUAAAUUUACAUAAUCUCACUUAAGUGGGUAAAUCGAUUACAACCAAUCUUGAAGGUCUUAAUUGAUCUGCUAUGUAUUUUAUGUAUUCCAUCUGCUUCAACGUACAUUUUAAUCCCUUAAAACCAUCUUGGCUUGCCUAUGAAACUCCCUUAAUACAUUACAAAUAAACACCUAAAGACAGCUCAAGUACCGGGACACCUAUAGUCUUGUUCUUCCUGAAAUGUUUAAGAGUUUUUUAUGUUAACAUUCCCUUUUUUCAUAUUUAUAAUGUAUCUUUUUUAAAACGUUUAAUUUAAAAAUACUAAAUAGAAUCAACUCGUUAGCAAUAAUUAUUACCAGGAUCAUCUACUGUUGAACAUCACGUUAUAGAAAAGCCUAACAAAGAUACAUUAGAACGUAACUCAUGCGUUAUAAAACGAUUUUUGUCAAAAGUUGAUAAUAACAUCAGAAGCGAAUGUACCGGUUUAGCAAGCUAUAGCCAGGACCUGUUUAAGUCGGAGUCACGCUCCAUGGAUUUCGAACAUAAAUAGGUUUAAUAUCAGUCCUGUUAUCGUCUAGAACAUGUUUAUAGUUUAAUAGACUGCCGAGAUAACCCUACAUACGCCAUAAAUGUCAGCUGUUCAGGCUAAAUGACAGUUAAUGUGUAUGUGAGGAUUGUCUUAUACCCAUAAAAAUCGUCUGCUUCGUUUUCUAGCUUACUUUCAUACAACAUAAAAAUGGGUUUGAGAUAAUGAUAUUUCGAACUAUAUACUCGCUUAUCAUAAAAUAAAGCUUGCGUGUUUACAUACAAUCAAAAUAUUCAAGGGAAAGAUUUGAAUAAAAAAAAAAGUUGAUAAUAAAUUCUACAUAAUUAAAGUUGUUUGAUGUGUUAUAUUUGUUUUAACAUAUACACAUUAUUUUGUAUUCUUGUUCAGGCGUAAGAAGUCACCUGUCCGACCUCGGGGGCUUUUCAGGCACUACGGUGAUCGGAUUUUUUCCAUGUAUUCCGGUUAAGUUCCACAUUCAUCUCAAUCUGUGCUUCAAUCUGUGCCAACAAGAAUGAUAAAUAUAAGUUUAAAACUGGGUCCAAAAAUCAUGAAACCAUUCUCGCGCUCAAGCAUGGAUUUUGUUCUCAAGCCCUAUUUGUUCUGGUUAUGAAUUGAUAAAAAACAGUUCUCAUUUUGUCAAUGACUUGGAACAAAAUUGAAAUAACUUGAAGCCAAAUACGGUUUUCAAUGUCUAUAUUUGUUAUGUGUUUUCUUUUUGUUCGUUUUGCAUGAUUAUUGAGUUACAAUAAAAUUGGUUUGAGCACAGAAUCCGUGCUUGAGCAUGAUAACCGUUUUAUGGAUACUGGCCCUGGUCUCAUAAUUGCUGUAUCGAAACAGGCCUUUAAGAAAUAUCAUUUGUUAACUCCGUCUUAAUACGAACUGUAUCGCACCAGAAGACUCGGUACAUUUCUUUGUUUAUUGUACUUACAACUCCG
rnacentral:misc_RNA from 1 species